UACGGAGGGUGCAAGCGUUAUCCGGAAUUACUGGGCGUAAAGCGUGCGUAGACGGUAGCGUAAGUCAGAUGUGAAAGCCCCGGGCUCAACCUGGGAACUGCAUUUGAGACUGCUCUGCUCGGGUGCGGAAGAGGGAAGCGGAAUUUCCGGUGUAGCGGUGAAAUGCGUAGAUAUCGGAAGGAACACCAGUGGCGAAAGCGGCUUCCUGGUCCGACACCGACGUUCAGGCACGAAAGCGUGGGGAGCAAACAGG
rnacentral:rRNA from 1 species